GUUGGGAAUAUUGGACAAUGGGCGCAAGCCUGAUCCAGCCAUGCCGCGUGAACGAUGAAGGCCUUCGGGUUGUAAAGUUCUUUAGCCGAUGAUUAUAAUGACUGUAGUCGGAAAAUAAGCCCCGGCUAACUUCGUGCCAGCAGCCGCGGUAAUACGAAGGGGGCGAGCGUUAUUCGGAAUCACUGGGCGUAAAGCGUGCGUAGGCGGUUUUGUAAGUUAGGAGUGAAAGCCCAGGGCUCAACCUUGGAAUUGCUCUUCAAACUGCAAAGCUCGAAUCUCGGAGAGGAUGGCGGAAUUUCCAGUGUAGCAGUGAAAUGCGUAGAUAUUGGAAGGAACACCAGUGGCGUAAGCGGCCAUCUGGACGAGUAUUGACGCUGAGGCACGAAAGCGUGGGGAUCAAACAGGAUUAGAAACCCGUGUAGUCC
rnacentral:rRNA from 1 species